GCCUUGGUGGAUCAAUUGGCAGAUCAGCCUACUCGAUCACAUGGUCAAGGUGCAAGUUGUACGUAGUAGGAAGACGAGGGUUCGAAUCCUCCCCAAGGCA